rnacentral:lncRNA from 1 species
UGAAGAAGGAGUUUAAAUGCAGAAUGUGUCAUUUCAGGGAUAUGGGUCCUACCUCUGAUCUGUUUGAGGUAUAGAGUAGCUUGGGUGGUAUAAUAGGUUUGAGGUAUAGAGUAGCUUGUGUGGUAUAAUAGGUUUGAGGUAUAGAGUAGAUUGGAUGGUAUUAUCUGUUUGAGGUAUAAAGUAGAUUGGAUGGUAUUAUCUGUUUGAGGUAUAGAGUAACUUGGGUAGUAUAAUAGGUUUGAGGUAUAGAUUGGAUGGUAUUAUCUGUUUGAGGUAUAGAGUAGCUUGGAUGUAUUAUCUGUUUGAGUAUAGAGUAGCUUGGAUGGUAUUUG